GACGAACGCUGGCGGCGUGCUUAACACAUGCAAGUCGAACGGAAAGGCCCCUUUGGGGGUACUCGAGUGGCGAACGGGUGAGUAACACGUGAGUAACCUGCCCUUGACUUCGGGAUAACUUCAGGAAACUGGGGCUAAUACCGGAUAGGAAUCCUUGCUGCAUGGUGGGGGUUGGAAAGCUUCGGCGGUUUUGGAUGGACUCGCGGCUUAUCAGCUUGUUGGUGGGGUAGUGGCUUACCAAGGCUUUGACGGGUAGCCGGCCUGGGAGGGCGACCGGCCACAUUGGGACUGAGAUGCGGCCCAGGCUCCUACGGGAGGAAGCAGUGGGGAAGAUUGAACAAUGGGCGGAAGCCUGAUGCAGCAACGCCGCGUGCGGGAUGACGGCCUUCGGGUUGUAAAACGCUUUCAGCAGGGGCGAAGCUUGUGGUGACGGUACCUGCAGAAGAAGCACCGGCUAACUACGUG
rnacentral:rRNA from 1 species